AGAGCUUUACAUACCGAAAUACUUCAUCGCUCACGCGGCGUCGCUGCAUCAGGGUUUCCCCCAUUGUGCAAUAUUCCCCA
rnacentral:rRNA from 1 species